rnacentral:lncRNA from 1 species
GUUUCUUUGGGAAUUUCUGACAGAGGAGCACGCCAUAUAAGGAUUUUUAAAAUUGUUUGUGUGGUUUUUUUUUUUUUUUUAAUUGUGUUUUUUUUUAGUAGUCGGGGCAAGUUUCAACCAGGAUAUGAAAAUGAACUGGAAUCAAACAACCUCAAAGGCAGAAAUGAGACUCUCCUUGGAAAUCUUGCAUAAUCCACCGUCUUGUGUAAUUUCAAGAGGGCUUCGAAAUAAGGAGAAAAUAAAUGCCAACUCUCCUAAGCUUGCCAGGAAAGGAAAAGUCUGAAUUUCUCCUUCUACUGAAGAAGGAGGAGGACCCUCCCCAUCCCCGUGAGGCUCCACCAUCUUCCCCACCAGUACCAGGAGAGGCAGCUGAUGGGUGGGCCACCUCCAAGACAACAAUGACUUAAUUGUGAUGUGUGAUGAGGGCUUUGGGAACCUGCUGGCCAGGCAGCGGGACCUGUGAGGCUUGAGGGUGCUGGCUGCGUGUCAGAAGGAGAAGGUCCAGCAGCUGAGAGGCCAGACAUCAGAGAGGCUCGAGUCUGUGGUCCUGGACGUCACCAAGACAGAGAGCAUGAUUGGAGCACCCAGUGGGUGAAGGAGUAUGUGAGGACAGAGGUCUUGCACAUGCUGGUGCAAUGGAACGGAUGAGAGUUGGAGUCUGGUUACCUGCAAAACAUCCUGGCUGCAGUCUGUGCGACCUCAGGGUACAACAGAAGCAUGCCAAGUCAAAUUCUCAACUGGGAAGAAAUAUACUGAAUCUUAUAGCUGAACUCUUAACUGCAAUUACCUUUGGGAGAAAUAUCAAGUCAACCUAUUACCACAACAAUGUAUUCCUGCAAACUGGGCAAAGAAGGACAUAG